rnacentral:rRNA from 1 species
UACGUAGGGUGCGAGCGUUAAUCGGAAUUACUGGGCGUAAAGCGUGCGCAGGCGGCGCGUUAAGACAGGUGUGAAAGCCCCGAGCUUAACUUGGGAAUUGCGCUUGUGACUGGCGUGCUGGAGUGUGGCAGAGGGAGGUGGAAUUCCACGUGUAGCAGUGAAAUGCGUAGAGAUGUGGAGGAACACCGAUGGCGAAGGCAGCCUCCUGGGCCAGCACUGACGCUGAGGAGCGAAAGCGUGGGGAGCAAACAGG